CCGUACCGCGGUAGAAGCAGUGGUCCCCGUGGCGCCGGGUCGCCCUCGGCCCGCUUCCUGAAGGCACAAAGCCGGCGGCGCCCACCGAACCAUCCCGCUCCAGGUCCAGCAGGAACCUCCGGCCGCCCGCGUAGACGAGCUUUCCCAGUCAGGCACUAACAGAUGGAAGAGCAGAUGAUCCUCCAGGAAGACAGGGGUUCAGACAACCAGACUUGAGCCUGUGGGAAACUUCCUUUCACCAGUAGCUGGAACACCCCAGAGUCCCAACACAAUUGCUAUCUCUGAUCUUUGAAAAUAUGAGCAGAUGAGCUUGAGGCAGCUGGAAGAGACAGGGAAGUAGAGUUUGAUUGAUUUCUAGUUCAAGGAACUCAUCUUUGACCGCGUUUUCCUGCAUUCUUCCCCAAAGCCAGAUUCUUGCUUUUGCUUCUCUCUUUUUCUCAUUUCGGGAUCCUCUUCCAAUCCAUCCAUCCCCUUUCCAGUCCAGGUGCGUGAUAAAACCAAGAUUCCUCUUGUCCUUCAGGCAUGUCGAAUAUCAAAUUUUUAGAGAACAGAUCUGGGUAGGAAAGGAUGAAGUUGUACUCAUAACAUUCAAAUCUGUGUUCAAAAUCAUCCCCUAAAGGGAGUCCUCACUGAUGUAGAAAAGAUGUUAAGGUUUGAAGCUGACGGCCAAGAAAGAAUUCUUGAGACAUCUUUGGUGCAAAAAGGUGAUUUUAUUAAAGCGUGGGGACAGGACCCAUGGGUAGAAAGAGCUGCACUGGGAUGAUGAGUAGUGGCCCAUUAUAUAUUUUCAAGUUGGGAGGGGCUUAGGGAUAGUGUAAGUCUCUAAGGAGUUUUGGAAGCAAGUUUUCCAGGACCUUGAGGGGGCUAGCUAUUGUUGGGAAAAGGUCAUUUAUUACUGUCUAAUAAAACCAUAGUCAUGAGACCCUUCAGAUGUAUAUCGGUGGGCCAUAUGCUCGGGGGAUGAUUGCCAACAUGUAUCUUGUGGGGGUUUAGAGAUAAAGGAAGUUUCAAAAGGAAUUUUUAUAUGUUAAAGUAGACUUACAGGAUUGGGGGGGAGGGGCCAGACCAGAAUUGUCUUCUGCCUUUAGCAAAGUAUUAACAUCGAGGCAGCUGAGUUUCUAGAGGAAGGUCACUCUGCCUAUUUCAAGGACUUGUCAUUGGGCUGUAAGUGGUAAAGAAAUUCGGUUUUUCUUUUGCCUUUGUUUCCCACAUCACUCACCAGAUCUGCCCACAAAGGUUAUGAGAUCUUUGAUGGCCCAUGUCAGUUUAAGCCCAAAUGUUUUAGGUGACUCUGUUGAGUGGCAUCUGAAAGGGUUCUUUUGACACAUAACUUUAGAAUUAAUUACAAGUAGUUGGAUGUGAAUUACUAAAUACAUAUUUACAAGUAAUUAUAUAACCUCUAGCAUUUGUUUUCUGCAUUUCAGAUUUUCAUUUAUUUCUGCCAAAGCAUUAAUUGCAUUAUCAUUAUUUCAUUUCAUCUGUUAGCAGAUAAAGUGGCUUUCUUUUAAAAAAGUUGAAGAAGGAAAACAGUGCAGAUUAAGACUAAAUAAGAUGGAGGCAUUCACAGAGGGAAACUGCCAGGUAUAGCAAGAGAAAGCUUCCCACCUAUAAUCCACACAUGAACCCUACAGAAAUUUCAGAAAACAACCAAUGUAUCUUUCUCAUUCAUGUCCUCUUGUGUUUAUACUCCUGACAGUAUUAAAGUUGUUAAUGUGCUUGUCUUUUUGUCCCUUCUGACACAUGUCACACUCAGUCACAGAGUGUGAGGACUGCUACCCUCAUUUACACAUGCCUCCAGCACCUCCAAAACAGACCUGUGCUUAACUGAUUUCAGUUAAAUCAAUCUCAUUUAAUCCCACAGGAUUUAAGUGAGGAGAGACAAAGCAAAAAAAAAAAAAAAAAAUAAUAAUAAUAUAAUUCUUGUUUAUUCUUCACGAUCUUGGCCUGAGUGGAAGGAAGAGAGAAAGAAUUAUAGUUCAUGAAAAGAACCAUGAUUCUAACUCAGCUUAAUAGAAAUUUUUGCGUUCUAGACCCCUAAAUCCAGACGAGAAUUCAGGUAGUUGUCGGUACUUGAGGGAGGAUUCAAUGACUCUUGUGUUUCCAACCACAUGAUGUAAUCUAUCAGACCCUUAAGAUUAGUGGAUAUGGUAUUCACAUUUCCAAUCACUGGGUAGUUCCCUGAAGAAUUUAUGUAUAUAGUACACACCAAUUCAUAAUUUGAAAUGUGGUCAUCUUAUACAGCUCUUUGGCAUUUCUGGUUCUGUGUCUUGUUUAUUUCGUUUUGAAUACUCAUUAUCACGUAGCAAGCAACUAACGUAAAGAGAUUGAGCAAAAACUAAAAUCACAACUCUUUGUUUCUUCAGAAGGAACCAUGUAAAACCUCACAAUGUGACCUUAUCCGGAAAUAGGGUUUUUGCAGAUAUAAUUAGUAAAAAUGAGGUCAUCCUGGGAUUAGGCAAGGCUCUAAAUCCAAUGACUGGUGUCCUAAAAAAUCGCAGAUACACACACACACACACACACACAGAGGGAAGAUGGCCGUGUGGAGAUGAUACAGAGGCUGGAGAGACACAACAGCUCAAACCAAGGAAGGCCAAGGAAUCAGGAGAAGCCAGGAAGAAGCAAGGAGGGAUUCUCCCCUAGUACCUCCAGAGAGAGUGUGGCCUUGCUUGCACUUUGAUUUUGGACUUCUAGUUUCCAGAAGGAGUGACAAGAACAUAAGUAAGCCUGUGCUUUAAGACAGAAAAGAAGAUGGAAACAGUUGAAAGGAGAAUCCAGUGGUGGCUCGGAUCUACCACGUGAACAGUUUCACCUCUGCUGCCUGGAGGCAUAAGAAAAGGAGGUAGAUGAGUCGGAACCUCUAGGUGGUUAGUGCAAUGCAGAGUUUACUCACCAGUGAGAUAAACAUUUGAAAAAAGUUGCAAGAUGGCAAAAUGUGUUUUUAUGCACAAAAAGUACACCACAGUGAAUCGCCAAUAAAGUGAGGUUGAAGGGAAAGGCAAGAGAGUGCAAACUUUUCUAUAAACUACAGGUGGUGAACACAAAACACCGGCAGUUGGAUUAAACAUGCCUGGGGUAAAAUGUUGGUUUGAAACUUCCAGAAUCAUUGUAUUUUUUGCUACAUGUGAAGUCAACAAAUGCAUUAUUUCACUCACUGCCCCACAGAUGUUUUGAAGAGAAGCUUGUAAGAAGAAAUAAUAUGUGCAAUAAGGAAAAUACCUUCCCAAAUGCUCAUCCACGAGAUGGGUAAGAAAACAUGGGAAUUUAAAGAGGCCAAGGAUAAACUGACUCAUCUACUUUUGUGGCAAUGUAGCAUAUUUUGGGAUUAAGACUCACUUGUUUUCCUGUUCUGUCAUUUCCCAACCUUAAGGGACUUGAAUAAGAACUCCUUGAAUGUUUAUUGACAUUCCAUUAAAAAGCGUAUAAGGCAUGGCCAAAGUCUUUUAUUUUUUUCCUUCAAAAAUGUCCACAAGUACUUUGUGCUAAGGUAGGAUUUUAAAAUGUGUAGGUUCUCAAUGUUUUCUUCAUAGGAUGGAGUAGGAUGCUUUCUCUUUCUUAAUUUUUCUGCUGAAACAGGGAAAAUAAAUUUCCACCCUUUAUAAAGCAGUGGAUCUCAGGUAUUUUGGACCCUGCUAUCCCUUUAAAAAUUACUGAGAACCUCUAAAUAUUUGGCUUAUGAGCAGUCCUCAAUAUGUGGUUAUAUCUACUAAUAGUUAUGAUAAUAGAAAUGAGACCUUAAAAAUAAGUAUUUGUUGAUUCAUUUACUAAUAACAACAAUAAACCUAUUCAAUGCUGA